rnacentral:sRNA from 1 species
UGCUCAAUUGCGUCAUUGAUCCGCUGAGU